rnacentral:rRNA from 1 species
AAUCAACGCUGGCGGCGUGCCUAACACAUGCAAGUCGAACGCGAGAGGGGCUUCGGCCCCGAUUGAGUGGCGAACGGGUGAGUAACGCGUGGGUGACCUACCUUCGAGUGGGGGAGUAACGUCCCGAAACGGGACGCUAAUACCGCAUAACAUCCUGCUUUUGUAAUGGGUGGGAGAUCAAAGCCGGGGAUCGCAAGACCUGGCGCUUGAUGAGGGGCCCGCGUCUGAUUAGCAGUUGGUGAGGUAACGGCCCACCAAGGCAACGAUCAGUAUCCGGCCUGAGAGGGCGGACGGACACACUGGGACUGAGACACGGCCCACGACUCCUACGGGAGGGCAGCAGUGGGGAAUUGUUCGCAAUGGGCGCAAGCCUGACG